rnacentral:rRNA from 1 species
GACGAACGCUGGCGGCGUGCCUAAUACAUGCAAGUAGAACGCUGAGGGAGGAGCUUGCUUCUCUGGAUGAGUUGCGAACGGGUGAGUAACGCGUAGGUAACCUGCCUGGUAGCGGGGGAUAACUAUUGGAAACGAUAGCUAAUACCGCAUAAUAGCAGUUGUUGCAUGACAACUGUUUGAAAGGUGCAAUUGCACCACUACCAGAUGGACCUGCGUUGUAUUAGCUAGUUGGUGGGGUAACGGCUCACCAAGGCGACGAUACAUAGCCGACCUGAGAGGGUGAUCGGCCACACUGGGACUGAGACACGGCCCAGACUCCUACGGGAGGCAGCAGUAGGGAAUCUUCGGCAAUGGACGGAAGUCUGACCGAGAAACGCCGCGUGAGUGAAGAAGGUUUUCGGAUCGUAAAGCUCUGUUGUAAGAGAAGAACGAGGGUGAGAGUGGAAAGUUCACACUGUGACGGUAUCUUACCAGAAAGGGACGGCUAACUACGUG